GACGGAAUUGCCUCAGCAAACUAAAAGCUACCGUGUGAUCUUGGCAUUCUCUUCACAAUCAUUCUGGUAAACAUUCUGGUCAUGUAGUAAUAGAUGUCAAUGAAGCCUGCUUACCCGGAAUCUUUAGCUCAGCGAACUUUCUCCCAGCAGCUGUUUCUCAUUCCUACUGAAACACAACCCCAAUGGAAUAUUGUCAGAUUUAAGAUCGGUCUUUCAGGAGAAUGUGAACUCCAUGAGUAAGUUUGCUGGAGUCUCGGGACAUAGGACAGUACCUGCAUCUUGUUCAACACAUAGGGUCAUUUUAACUCAUUUGCUUGUGGGGAUACAUACAUAACGCCAAGUGGAGUUUCAGGCUCCUGACAGAUACCUGAAUGAGGUCACUGGGUUAUCUGGGACAGCUGCUUCAUAGUGAAGUUUGGCUGGUCUUGGCCCAUACUUCUCCUCAGAUUCAACGGUGCUCUGUAUGGCCCAUUCUGCUACCUAGUGGUUCCUGAGUUCACAGGUGCUGCCACUAACUGCCGGCAUGUGGACCACACCUUGUAAACUGGCCUUGCAGAUUCGGGAAUGUCUGUUACUGGAAAACAGAAGUGGGAGGAGAAUGCGAGCCUUCCAUGGUCCUAAGAUGU